rnacentral:tRNA from 1 species
GGAAAAAGUAGUCUAAAGCUAGGACGUCGGCUUCAUAAUCCGAAAGUGGUAUUAAUACCUUUUUUA